rnacentral:rRNA from 1 species
AUUGAACGCUGGCGGCAGGCUUAACGCAUGCAAGUCGAGCGGAGAUGAGGUGCUUGCACCUUAUCUUAGCGGCGGACGGGUGAGUAAUGCUUAGGAAUCUGCCUAUUAGUGGGGGGACAACAUUCCGAAAGGAAUGCUAAUACCGCAUACGUCCUACGGGAGAAAGCAGGGGAUCUUCGGACCUUGCGCUAAUAGAUGAGCCUAAGUCGGAUUAGCUAGUUGGUGGGGUAAAGGCCUACCAAGGCGACGAUCUGUAGCGGGUCUGAGAGGAUGAUCCGCCACACUGGGACUGAGACACGGCCCAGACUCCUACGGGAGGCAGCAGUGGGGAAUAUUGGACAAUGGGGGAAACCCUGAUCCAGCCAUGCCGCGUGUGUGAAGAAGGCCUUAUGGUUGUAAAGCACUUUAAGCGAGGAGGAGGCUACUGAGACUAAUACUCUUGGAUAGUGGACGUUACUCGCAGAAUAAGCACCGGCUAACUCUGUGCCAGCAGCCGCGGUAACAC